AUGAACGCUAGCUACAGGCUUAACACAUGCAAGUCGAGGGGCAGCAUGAACUUAGCUUGCUAAGUUUGAUGGCGACCGGCGCACGGGUGAGUAACACGUAUCCAACCUGCCGAUGACUCGGGGAUAGCCUUUCGAAAGAAAGAUUAAUACCCGAUGGCAUAGUUCUUCCGCAUGGUGGAACUAUUAAAGAAUUUCGGUCAUCGAUGGGGAUGCGUUCCAUUAGGUUGUUGGCGGGGUAACGGCCCACCAAGCCUUCGAUGGAUAGGGGUUCUGAGAGGAAGGUCCCCCACAUUGGAACUGAGACACGGUCCAAACUCCUACGGGAGGCAGCAGUGAGGAAUAUUGGUCAAUGGACGAGAGUCUGAACCAGCCAAGUAGCGUGAAGGAUGACUGCCCUAUGGGUUGUAAACUUCUUUUAUACGGGAAUAAAGUGAGGCACGCGUGCCUUUUUGUAUGUACCGUAUGAAUAAGGAUCGGCUAACUCCGUGCCAGCAGCCGCGGUAAUACGGAGGAUCCGAGCGUUAUCCGGAUUUAUUGGGUUUAAAGGGAGCGUAGGCGGACGCUUAAGUCAGUUGUGAAAGUUUGCGGCUCAACCGUAAAAUUGCAGUUGAUACUGGGUGUCUUGAGUACAGUAGAGGCAGGCGGAAUUCGUGGUGUAGCGGUGAAAUGCUUAGAUAUCACGAAGAACUCCGAUUGCGAAGGCAGCCUGCUGGACUGUAACUGACGCUGAUGCUCGAAAGUGUGGGUAUCAAACAGGAUUAGAUACCCUGGUAGUCCACACAGUAAACGAUGAAUACUCGCUGUUUGCGAUAUACAGUAAGCGGCCAAGCGAAAGCGUUAAGUAUUCCACCUGGGGAGUACGCCGGCAACGGUGAAACUCAAAGGAAUUGACGGGGGCCCGCACAAGCAGUGGAGUAUGUGGUUUAAUUCGAAGCAACGCGAAGAACCUUACCAGGUCUUGACAUCGAGUGACAGUCUAAGAGAUUAGACCUUCCCUUCGGGGACACAAAGACAGGUGGUGCAUGGUUGUCGUCAGCUCGUGUCGUGAGAUGUUGGGUUAAGUCCCGCAACGAGCGCAACCCUUAUGGUCAGUUACUACGCAAGAGGACUCUGGCAGGACUGCCGUUGACAAAACGGAGGAAGGUGGGGAUGACGUCAAAUCAGCACGGCCCUUACGUCCGGGGCUACACACGUGUUACAAUGGGGGGUACAGAAGGCAGCUACACGGCGACGUGAUGCUAAUCCCGAAAGCCUCUCUCAGUUCGGAUUGGAGUCUGCAACCCGACUCCAUGAAGCUGGAUUCGCUAGUAAUCGCGCAUCAGCCACGGCGCGGUGAAUACGUUCCCGGGCCUUGUACACACCGCCCGUCAAGCCAUGAAAGCCGGGGGUACCUGAAGUGCGUAACCGCGAGGAGCGCCCUAGGGUAAAACUGGUGAUUGGGGCU
rnacentral:rRNA from 1 species